rnacentral:lncRNA from 1 species
UUCAAUCAUCAAAUGUCACGCUACCUUACUCCAAAAAUCAAAACAAAGAAUUCAUCCAUUGCAUUUAAGAAAUAGAUAUACGCGCAAUGACACUGAACUUAACGAAAUAUAAGUAAUGUGGGACUAUGAAGCAAUGACCCCUGUGCAUGGACAACAAAACGCCCCAAAACCCGACUCGUUACCUUGAAAAACAGUUGGACACGUGACAACCUCUCCCAAAAUCAUGUCAUCUUAACCACAAUACACCAGGCUCAAUAACUUAAUCUCAUUAUCAACCAAUCUAGACUAGCCAGUUGGAUGAAGGAUAACGCACAUCGACAAAAAAGGGAUGGAAAGAAAAACAAGAACUUCAAAAAGGAAUAGAACCAUGAUCGCUACGAACACUAGUUAAAAUCCCUAUGUCUAUUAUCUAAUUAUCUCGUAAUCCUGGUUGAAUAAUCGAUAACACUGCGGUUAAGAAGGGUUUAGCAGAAAAGAUACAAAAUGAUAUACAGUUAACAGUUGGCGGUGGACACAAAUACACAACACACCUGAUUUACAGGUCAUUUUUGUCAGUGUGAGAGUGUGAGUCUGGUGUUUGUUAUUAGGGAGCCUCUCCAGGUAUAAUUGAGAAAAAUAUUCUAGACAGUCAAGUUUUCGAUAUCUAAAGUUGCUUGACAUAGUCACAACUCACAAUAUGUACAAUAGGCAAAAUAGAAGCUAACAGAUGGAUAAAUGUAAAGUAGCAAAAAAACCAUCGUGAUACAAGCCAGGAAUCUGCAUAUUGCAUAUUUUGGAUGAAAAUGAAGCAAGGAAUUAUGCUUUUUGUUAGGCAAUAAACAGCACGCAAUGGAUCUUCAGAUGUUUAAUUUGGAGCUGGAAAUUAGUAUUUAUACACACCCUCCCUCCCAGUCUAUUUGUGCAACAAAAACCGAAGGCAUGAAACACUUUAGCCAUACGCAUCCGCUAAUCCUAUCCAAAUACAACCAUUCUCCCCCAAAUGCUGUCUGCUCUGCCUGCCGUGAUCCAAUUUCAUCAAACACAGAUUUCUAUCAGUGUAUUCAUCAAUCCAUCGAUUCUCCUUGUACUCGUUUUCUUCUCCACAAGGCAUGUGCAGACUUACCUAUGGUCAUCCAGCACCCUCUUUACGAAGAAGGCGUGCUAAUGCUUUAUGCAGAUGAUGAAGAGUUUUUUUGUCGGACUUGUCAACAAUAUGUUGCAAGGUGGUUUUAUGUUCACCUUGAACAAUUUGUUCACCUUGGACAAUUUGUUCGCGUUUGCAUCAAAUGUGCAUUUCUAGAGCGUCAACUUAAUCAUCCAUCACAUAGUCACCCAUUAACCUUGCUGCCUAUGAAAGCAACAUUGCAUAGAUGCACAGCUUGUGGCGUGCAAGGUAUCAUGGAUUUUUCUUACUUGUGUAAAACUUGUUUUUUUUUGGAUACACAAGGGUUGUGCGUCUGCACCACCUACUCUCAUUCGCCAAGACCAUGACCAUGAUCAUCCGCUUCUUCUUGCAUAUUGGUUUCCCGAAGAGUAUGACAACAACGGAGUAUUAUGUUAUUUGUGCUCUAAGGAGAUUGUACGAUGUUCCGCUAUUGGAUUUAUUACUGUGCUGACUGCAGAUAUUUUGCACACGUCCACUGCGCUUUAUCAGCAGAGUAUGUUUGUUUCUCUUUUCUUGUUAAAUUUUUAAGUCAUAGCAGCUGGUUGCUUGAUAUACUCUGGUUUAAAUUGUUUAAUCCAGAUCUCGCAAAGAUGGGAAUGAAAAUGACGAUAUGGGAGACGUGGAAGGAUCUGAUUUGGUGCAUUUACCGAUAUGUGAUGAUGAACCCUACUUGUUCUACCAGUUGAUCCAACAAUUUGCAAACAAGUUUAGCAUUUCAACAAACGAGGAAUCACGAAAAGCCGAUAUAAUCAGUGAGUGUCGCAGUGGCCAUUCACUCAUCCUGUUCGAUAAUUCUACCACUGAAAGUGUUGUCGAAACAAACAUUUGCGACGGAUGUGUCCAGCCUCUCUUGUCCCCGCCUCAUCCUUUCUACGGAUGCCUAGAUUGUAACUUCUUUCUCCACACUCUCUGCGCUACAGAGUUACCAAGAGAGAUUGAAAACCGGCUCACCAAAUUCACAAGAUGUUAUGAAACAAGUAAGCCAUUUGAUUUUUAUGUAUGCGGUGUGUGUGACAGGUUUUGCAACGGAGUAAUGUAUUAUGACGAAACAAAUAAAUAUUGGGUUGAUGUUUUGUGUGCUGCAUUGCCCAGUAAGAUUAAACAUGAUUGUCAUAAGUGUUGAGUGGGUUCAACCCAAGUCCCACAUCGGAAAGAUAAAGAAGAUUUAUCUUGGAUAUAAGCAGCCAAAGAACUCCAUUAGUAUGAGGCCUUUUGGGAGGAGCCCGAAAGCAAAUCCGUGCGGACUUGGCCACGGCCCAGAGCGGACAAUAUCAUACUAAUGCGGAGUUCACGGGUGUUGCGCGGCCCAACAAUAAGCACACGCUUCAUCAUCUGACUGUAAUUCCGAGGUUCGAAAAAUGUAGAGGGUGUUAUGGUAAUAUUGAUCAUCACUCCUGGGCAUGUAAAAUAUGUGAUUACUAUAUUCAUAUAAAGUGUGCACUAAAAAAAGGAACAAUUAAGCACAGAUGGGAUGAGCAUCACCUAAGUUUGGUGUAUCCUCCAGUUAAAGGACAUCCACAGGCCUUUAAUUGCGAACUCUGCUCGGUGGAUAUCAACCCUAACUUUUGGUUUUACUAUUGUGUCAAUUGUGAUACGUCAUUUCAUGCUCUUUGCGUUGAUCAAGAUGUGUAUUCAAAUAUCAAGUACGGGGGAAUGGUGAAGGAUGAUAAUCUCCAUCAACACCUCAUUCGACUCAACGGAUGUAGACAAAAGUUCAAGUGCGCAGAAUGUGGUGAAAAUAUAGCGGAGUCUUAUAUUUGGGAGUGGAAUGCACCUUGUUUUUUUAGUCGGAAGCCAUUAAUUCAAUGUGCAUCAUGUGAAUUCUUCGUGUGCAUGGAAUGUAUUAUUAGUCGUUAUGGAUCCUCGGAACCACGUGGGGAAACGGUUGAAUAUUCUGUAGAUUAUAAUGAAUUCUGUGAAAUAACAUUUUAGUUGGAUGAUAAUCUCCAUCAACACCCCAUUCAACUCAACGGAAGCAAACAAAAGUUCAAGUGUGCAGAAUGUGGUAUAAAUAUGCGGGGGUUUUAUAGUUGGGGUACACCUUUUUUUUUUUAAUCGAAAGCCAUUAAUUCAAUGUGCAUCAUGUGAAUUCCGCGUAUGCAUGAAUUGUAUUAUUAGUCAUUAUGGGUCCUCCGAUCCACGCGGGAAAAUGGUUGAAGAUUUUAUAGUUUGUACACAAUUUAGCUAGAGAAUUAAUACUUUAGUUUGAUAAGAAUGGAAUGGGGGAACGAAUGAAAUUAUUAAACAUUCAACUAAAUUUCAUAUUAUUCCUUCCAUUUUCAUUCAACCAAACCAAACACAACAUAAGAGUUUUCUCCCUACUAUAAAAUAUAGCAAAGAGUAAUUACAAUGCAUUUUCACCCGUAAUAGAGAAACUUCCGCUCGCUUGAACUUAAAUCCCACAUGCAUAGCCUAAAUAUUCACAAAAUGUACUAGAUAUUGAUAUGCUAGACAUAUAUGCACAAAACUUUUUAAACAUAGAUUUCUUUAAGGCAUAUAAGAGAUAAAAGGUGGGUUUAUUUAAGGGUAUUUUUUUAGACAUGAAUGUGAGAUUGUGAGGGCAUUUAGUGUGGAACUUUCACUCUAGCAAUCGAGGUUGUCUUUGUCAAGUAAAUCUCCUGCUACAUACUAAAAUAUGAUCAGUUGGAUGUUGUACCAGCUCAUCAUUGAUUAAGAUCUCACUUUAGCGCUCUUAUAAAAUGGACUAGAGGGAGUACUAAGAGCAAGAGUGAUUUAUUUUUAUAACUGAUUAAUUGAUGUGCUGAUCAUUCAACAGAUUAGUCUUCCUAGGGAUCAAAAGAUAUCAACACCCAAGUACUACUGAGCAUACACAUGUUCAGCCUGAUAAUGAACAAAGUGAUAGUGACAGAGACUUACAGUGUUACAGAGAUGGUUGUUCAUCAGGGCCCUGCUUUGACACGAGGAACUCAAGAGCGAGGGCGACAUGAAUUGCCCACAUUUAUGUAACUGGUGACUGGAUACUGCUUUGAAACUUUAACUGAGUGGCAUGUAUCACCAUUUAAGCUACCAAAAAAAUUUCAACAUGUAGAAGAACAAAAGUAAGUGGUUGUAGCUGAUAAGGGGCAACAAGCUAAAAUUAAGGAGAAAAUGUCUUGAGAUAACAGCAAGUGCUUUCAAUUGACAGAAAUUACGACCGCCUUUCAGUUUCUAGCAAACAUCAAAUGGUCAUAACAAAGUUUAACCAAGAUACAAAAAAAUAUACAUUAAUUAAAUACAGAAUCUCACCAAGUAUGGAAUACACAACCCCAAAAUCUUCCACCUAAAUUAUCAUCAGUCCAGGACUCCAGGGAAUUCUCAACAAUGGACUCAUCAUAGCAACACAAAUAUGGGUAUAAAAAUUGCUAGGACAGCUGUAUGAAGACAGAGUUAAGUGAGAGAGCAUACAAAGUGUUUCUGUUAUGUAUAUAAUGAUUUGCGGAAUGGUAGCGUAACUUUUAUGGUUCAAACCUGCAUUUCUCAGCAACUCAAACUUUGAUUUGCUAGCAACUGUGGUACCCUCUCCCUUGAUCCGGCCAGUUUCACCAGAUUAAUGGUCAGAAUAUACAAAUUUUAUAC